AUAGAUAAUAUGCAAUGUUUAUAGAUAAUAUGCAUGUGUAUCAACUGUGCCCUUCAUUCCAAGUCAAAAUCAAAGUCAAGUAUAAUCCCAUGGAUGAAAAUAAAGUGUCCUAUGCAAACGAACGAAUGGCAUUGACUGUGGCUAUUUUGUCAUGCAAUUUAUGAAAGAGAUAAUAUUGGCAAAUCAAGACAUGAUCCCCGAAAAUGUAUGUAUGUGAUUUUUAAUAUACUGUUAAUUUGUAAUCAUAUAUAUAACUAGGCAUUCUUUUUCUAACUCAAUUUUUUGCUACUUUUAUAUUUGAAUUAUUUUGGAGAUUACAAAUGUAAAACCUAUUCUAAAUAUAAGCUAGUUCAGGUCGAGGAGGAUUGGGCAACCUUUAUGGUCGAGUAUCUUAGAGACUAUAUUGCUGAUAGACUUAAACCAUAAUUGGUUGUGCUGGACUAUAUAGCUUGUCACGAGUCCUCUUAAAUUUAGGUGUUUUUUUGUUGAUAAUUAACUGUGGCUGCUUUUAGGAGUUUUUAUUUUUUAUUUUUUUUAUUGGCAAUUGUAGAUUGAUUAGUAUUAUGACAUUC